rfam:Triticum aestivum genome assembly, contig: Triticum_aestivum_CS42_TGACv1_scaffold_320772_4BL
AUUGUACUCCCUCCGUCCGAAAAUACUUGUCAUCAAAAUGGAUAAAAAGAGAUGUAUCUAAAAUUAAAAUACGUCUACAUGCAUUCCCUUUUAUCCAUUUUGAUGACAAGUAUUUCCGGACGGAGGGAGAAUUAA